rnacentral:rRNA from 1 species
AGCAGUGGGGAAUAUUGCACAAUGGGCGUCAAGCCUGAUGCAGCCAUGCCGCGUGUAUGAAGAAGGCCUUCGGGUUGUAAAGUACUUUCAGCAGUGAGGAAGGUGGGUAUGUUAAUAGCAUACUCAUUUGACGUUAGCUGCAGAAGAAGCACCGGCUAACUCCGUGCCAGCAGCCGCGGUAAUACGGAGGGUGCGAGCGUUAAUCGGAAUUACUGGGCGUAAAGCGCAUGCAGGUGGUUUGUUAAGUCAGAUGUGAAAGCCCGGGGCUCAACCUCGGAAUUGCAUUUGAAACUGGCAAACUAGAGUACUGUAGAGGGGGGUAGAAUUUCAGGUGUAGCGGUGAAAUGCGUAGAGAUCUGAAGGAAUACCGGUGGCGAAGGCGGCCCCCUGGACAGAUACUGACACUCAGAUGCGAAAGCGUGGGGAGCAAACAGGAUUAGAUACCCUGGUAG